rnacentral:rRNA from 1 species
GACAGAGGGUGCAAACGUUGUUCGGAAUUACUGGGCGUAAAGCGCGUGUAGGCUGCUUGGAAAGUCGGAUGUGAAAGCCCUGGGCUUAACCCAGGAAGUGCAUUCGAAACUUCCAAGCUCGAGUCCUGGAGAGGGUGGCGGAAUUCUCGGUGUAGAGGUGAAAUUCGUAGAUAUCGAGAGGAACACCGGUGGCGAAGGCGGCUACCUGGACAGUGACUGACGCUGAGACGCGAAAGCGUGGGGAGCAAACAGG